UCGGAUAUGGUGUAAUGGUUAACAUUACCGCCUCUCAAUAGCCUCAUCUGGUCGCGGUAGCUCGGGGUUCGAUUCCCCGUAUCCGAA
rfam:Rhizopogon vinicolor AM-OR11-026 unplaced genomic scaffold K503scaffold_109, whole genome shotgun sequence.